rnacentral:rRNA from 1 species
CGCGUAGGCGGACAGUUUAGUCAGAGGUGAAAGCCCAGGGCUCAACCUUGGAAUUGCCUUUGAUACUGACUGUCUUGAGUUCGGGAGAGGUGAGUGGAAUGCCGAGUGUAGAGGUGAAAUUCGUAGAUAUUCGGCGGAACACCAGUGGCGAAGGCGACUCACUGGCCCGAUACUGACGCUGAGGCGCGAAAGCGUGGGAGCAAACA